UACGAAUGGGGCUAGCGUUGCUCGGAAUUACUGGGCGUAAAGGGAGCGUAGGCGGACAGUUUAGUCAGUGGUGAAAGCCCAGGGCUCAACCUUGGAAUUGCCUUUGAUACUGGCUGUCUUGAGUACGGGAGAGGUGUGUGGAACUCCGAGUGUAGAGGUGAAAUUCGUAGAUAUUCGGAAGAACACCAGUGGCGAAGGCGACACACUGGCCCGUUACUGACGCUGAGGCUCGAAAGCGUGGGGAGCAAACAGG
rnacentral:rRNA from 1 species